GGCCAGGGAGAAGAGAUCGCAGCAGCAGCACGCGGUCGACGAGAAGUACACCCGGCGGAAGUCCCUCGUCCCCGUCCUCUACGACUGGCUGGCCAACCACAACCUCCUCUGGCGUUCUCUCUCUUGCCGAAACUAUAUCGAAAUUUGGAGCAGGACUGUUUCUGUUGGUCCAAGUAAUUAUCCUGCUAGACUUCACUCAUUCGUGGAAUGAUGCAUGGGUUGCAAAAGAUGAACAGAAAUGGUAUGUUGCUUUGCUGGUGAUAUUAGUUGGGUGCUAUAUUGCAGCCUACACUCUCUUUGGGAUUUUGUUCAUAUGGUUUAAUCCUUCUGGUGAGGACUAUGGCCUCAAUGUCUUCUUCCUUGUUAUGACAAUGGUCCUUGGCUUUGUAAAUGGAAUUGUUCACCCUGUGGUAAGAAAAGCAUGCUCUUGAAUACUUGUGUAUUAGAUUUGUAGACCUUUUUAAUAAUGAUAUUUGAAUAAUUGUA